UUCCGCGAAAUCCCGCCCCCCAGCUGGGCGCUCGGGAGGAGGGAGAAGGGGGAGCCAAGCCGGCCGGCGCCACGCAGACGAGGGAGAGGCGGCUGAAGAGCGGGAAGAACCGCUUCAAAUAGGUAGACAGAAGACCCUGACUGAGACCGGCGGCCUAGGGGCUGGAGUACUACUAGUCACAGCAUUCAUGUCUGUCAUCAACAGAAGGGAGUUUGAGAGAACUGCCGCCAGUACUUGAAAUUUCCAGGUGGAUUUAUGUGUUAAUGGACGAGCAGGGAAGCUUUACCUAAAGCUAUAGCGAGAACUACUAAGACUGUAAAGAAAGCACAUAAACCUUUGGUCCAACGUAUCUGCAUUUAUCAUUAAAAUGUUCCGUCUGGUCCAGUUAAGAGGAAGAAAAUAACGCA